AUCUUCGGACCUUGCGCUAAUAGAUGAGCCUAAGUCGGAUUAGCUAGUUGGUGGGGUAAAGGCCUACCAAGGCGACGAUCUGUAGCGGGUCUGAGAGGAUGAUCCGCCACACUGGGACUGAGACACGGCCCAGACUCCUACGGGAGGCAGCAGUGGGGAAUAUUGGACAAUGGGCGGAAGCCUGAUCCAGCCAUGCCGCGUGUGUGAAGAAGGCCUUUUGGUUGUAAAGCACUUUAAGCGAGGAGGAGGCUCCUUUAGUUAAUACCUAAAGUGAGUGGACGUUACUCGCAGAAUAAGCACCGGCUAACUCUGUGCCAGCAGCCGCGGUAAUACAGAGGGUGCGAGCGUUAAUCGGAUUUACUGGGCGUAAAGCGUGCGUAGGCGGCUUUUUAAGUCGGAUGUGAAAUCCCUGAGCUUAACUUAGGAAUUGCAUUCGAUACUGGAAAGCUAGAGUAUGGGAGAGGAUGGUAGAAUUCCAGGUGUAGCGGUGAAAUGCGUAGAGAUCUGGAGGAAUACCGAUGGCGAAGGCAGCCAUCUGGCCUAAUACUGACGCUGAGGUACGAAAGCAUGGGGAGCAAACAGGAUUAGAUACCCUGGUAGUCCAUGCCGUAAACGAUGUCUACUAGCCGUUGGGGCCUUUGAGGCUUUAGUGGCGCAGCUAACGCGAUAAGUAGACCGCCUGGGGAGUACGGUCGCAAGACUAAAACUCAAAUGAAUUGACGGGGGCCCGCACAAGCGGUGGAGCAUGUGGUUUAAUUCGAUGCAACGCGAAGAACCUUACCUGGCCUUGACAUACUAAGAACUUUCCAGAGAUGGAUUGGUGCCUUCGGGAACUUAGAUACAGGUGCUGCAUGGCUGUCGUCAGCUCGUGUCGUGAGAUGUUGGGUUAGUCCC
rnacentral:rRNA from 1 species